rnacentral:rRNA from 1 species
GACGUAGGGCGCGAGCGUUGUCCGGAUUUAUUGGGCGUAAAGAGCUCGUAGGCGGUUCGAUAAGUCGGGUGUGAAACCUCCAGGCUCAACCUGGAGACGCCACCCGAUACUGUCGUGACUAGAGUCCAGUAGGGGAGCGUGGAAUUCCUGGUGUAGCGGUGAAAUGCGCAGAUAUCAGGAGGAACACCAGCGGCGAAGGCGGCGCUCUGGGCUGGAACUGACGCUGAGGAGCGAAAGCGUGGGGAGCAAACAGG